UACGUAGGGGGCAAGCGUUGUCCGGAUUUAUUGGGCGUAAAGAGCGUGUAGGCGGCCUGACAGGUCUGCUGUGAAAACUCGAGGCUCAACCUCGAGAUGUCGGCGGAAACCGUCUGGCUAGAGUCCGGAAGAGGAGAGUGGAAUUCCUGGUGUAGCGGUGGAAUGCGCAGAUAUCAGGAGGAACACCGGUGGCGAAGGCGGGAUCCUGGGCCAGUACUGACGCUGAGGAGCGAAAGCGUGGGGAGCAAACAGG
rnacentral:rRNA from 1 species